UAAUGAAAAAAUUUUAUUGUUUCUUUUCGACUCAUUUUUUCACAUAAAAUCACCUACUCGGUUGUAACACCAGUUACGGGAUAUUCUGUGUAAGAAUGCAAAUCCAGUAUUAGUGAAUGAAAGAGGUGAAUAGGUGAACUCUCUGCCGUACAAUGUGAUUGUUUCUCACUCAACUGUUAUAUAUGUAUAAUAUGUGUGAUUUUUCAUACAAAUAUGAUAAAAGUUACGUAGUAUUUAUCGUCGAUCAACGUAUCAUAAAUUAAUUGUUCCGAUCGAAACGCUAUAUAUUCAUUGAUGAAAUUAGUUUUUAAUUUGUAGUAACACGCAUAUCUAUUUAUAUAUAUGCUACGUGCAUUUAAUAGCACGUGUUAACGUCACUUUUGUUUUUUACGUAUUUUUAUUGUACAGUUAGAUUUUCAUUUUAAUAAUUAUAUUUCAAACCUACCUACAAAUACUAUUGCAACUGUUGACAAGAGUUUAUAAAUCCUGUUAUAAAAUGGUGUAAUUUUACAAUCUGAGAUAAGGCAAUAUAUAUGUAUAUUAAUACAAUUAUAUUAGUACUAUGUUUCAAUUUAGUACAUGUUUGUUCAAAUUCAUUACUAAAAAUAUUCAUAUUAUUAAAGCGCACAACAGAUUACUGAGUGAAUCUUCUGUGAUAAAUUUAGCAGUAAUGCAACAAAAAAAAGAAUUCAAGCAUUUUAAUGCAUAUUUGAAGGUGCUUGGUAGCGGAGCACUUGGAACCCCACAGUGUGUAUUUUUUAUGACUGAUCACAGUAAUUAUAUAUUUAAUUGUGGUGAAAGCACUCAACGAUUAAGUCAAGAACAUGGCUGUAAACUAUCCAAGAUAGAAAAUAUAUUUGUGACACAUUUUUCUUGGAAAAAUAUUGGAGGUAUUCCAGGUUUACUGCUAACAGUACAAUCUAGUGGUACAACAGAAAUAAAUAUUCAUUGUCCUGAAGGAGUUCGCGAUUUUAUAGAAGCAGUUAAAUCAUUUGUAUUCUUGCCAAAACUGAAAAUUUCUUAUUUCACAAUUGAUGAAUCUGCAGAGUACAAUGAUUGUAGAAUGAAAGUUUCAUAUGUUCCUAUAACAAAAUCUACAAAAAAUAUUAAAAAGCUUUCUUCAGAUCUGGUUGAUCAAGAACAAUAUUACACAAAUGAAAAUGACAAGAGAGUUAUAAAUGAAGAAACCGACAAAGAAAAAGUUAAAGAAGGAAAGAAAUUGAAAAGCAUUCCAAAAGUAAUAUGUUAUAUUUGCACUGUUCAUUCAAGAUCUGGGAAAUUAUUAAUAGAUAAGUGCAUAAACUUUGGUGUACCACCUGGGCCACUUUUGGAUAAGUUAAAGCAAGGAAUGGAUAUUACUAAACCAGAUGGAUCUGUUGUUUAUAGUAAAGAUGUAGUGUCACCAGAUAUUCCUGAAACUACUUUCAUAGUUGUAGAAUGUCCGACAGACGAAUAUUUGGAUCCUAUAGUGAAUCAUCCUGCUUUUUUAAAAUAUCAACAAACAGAAACAGAAGCAAACGAAAAUAAAGUAUUUUGCAUAUUUCAUUGUACUUCUGACCAAAUUUUUACCAAUCAACGAUAUCAAGACUGGUUAAGAAAAUUUUCUUCAAAUACACAACAUGUAAUUGUAAAUAGUGAAAAUACUUGUAUGGGCAGUGAAGCUGUUUACAAGAACCAGUCUUUAUUAAACAUGUUACACCCUGAAAUAUUUCCUUUGUUAAGUAAAGAUCGUUUUGACAAAGAUAAAGAGACUUUAAAUGAUAAUAUCUAUCGUGCUAGAACGGGACAAGUGAUAGAGAUACGGCCAAUGCCAAAACCUUUACAGAAUGCUGAAAUUUACAAGGAUACGCAAAUAUAUAUUGACGAUCUUCUACAACUUCCUGACUUUACGACUGUUUUAAAAGAAUUAAAGGCUGUUAUUAAGGAAAAAUCAGUAGAACAUAAUUUAAAUACUAUUCCGGAUUAUCCACGAAUUGUAAUGUUAGGUACUGGCUGUAGUGUACCAAAUAAAGUUAGAAAUACAAGUGGUAUUCUUUUACGUGUUAAUAAGGAUUGUAGCAUUUUAUUGGAUUGUGGAGAAGGUACUCUUGGACAAAUUAUUAGGUUUUACGGGGUUUCGGAAGGUCUUAAUAUUUUACGUACUAUUAAGGCUAUUUAUGUAUCACACAUGCAUGCAGAUCACCAUUUAGGAUUCAUUGGUUUGUUGUCUGUAAGAAAAAAAGUUACAGAUGAAAAGUUGUACUUACUAGCGCCAAAAAUUUUAACACCUUGGUAUGAAUUUUGUGAUGAUCAGUUUAAUUCUAUCAAAGAGCAAUAUAUUUCUAUAAACAAUAACAAUCUAUACUUCCAACAUCAUAACUUAUCAUCAGUGUUAAAAUCGAUGAUUUUCAAGAAAUUAAAUGUCAAAGACAUAAGCACGAUUUAUGUCUUACACUGCAAGCAAUCAUAUGGCGUUGCCAUUACUCUUGAAGAUAACAAAAAAAUCGUUUAUAGUGGUGAUACUAUAUUUUGUCAACGUCUCAUAGACUUGGGACAAAAUUGUGAUUUAUUAAUUCACGAAGCGACUAUGGAGAAUGGUCUUGAACAAUUAGCAUACAGCAAGUCACAUUCAACGACAUCUCAAGCGAUAAAAGCUGGAAAAUCUAUGAAUGCAAAAUUUAUCUUAUUAACACAUUUCAGUCAGCGUUACUCAAAAAUUCCUUUUAUUCCAGAAGAAAAAAAUGUUGGACUUGCUUAUGAUAAUAUGGAAUUUAAAUUACCACAAUUACCACUGUUGCCUCUUUUCUAUCCGUGUAUAAAAGUAAUGUUUAGCGAAUAUAAUAAAGUACUAUCUAAAUAAGUAAUGCCUAAUUAAAACACGGAAAACCUUCUAAUACUCUGAAAAUUUUAAGUGAAAAACAUAUUUGUUAUCAACGUUACGUAUAAUAGGGUGUUUCACUUAAGACCGAACAUAUCACCACUUUUUUGUACUAGACAGUACGUGUCUCUUAUUUUUCUUUUUUUUUCUCGAUGAAGUAUGAAAAAUAACGACUAAAAAAGAACAACAUUAUAAUUCAUAAUUUUUCCGUUUCAAAUACAUCGUCACCGAAUGAACAAAGAAAAUAAGUUCACAAAUCAUAUUAACAUUAUUUCAGAAUUUCAUUAUUUUUUCAACGUUCAGAAUUAUCUCGAGAUCAUAAGUUAGAUGCAGAAUUAAAUUGAGAAUACAUUCUAACAUCUCCUACAUAAUCCAAUAGAAAAAUAUGUGAAAACAAAAAUUCGAAAGAAAUAAUCGUAAAAAAAAAU